rnacentral:rRNA from 1 species
UGCAAGAUCGACUAUGUUGAUUAAAGUUCUAGAUAGAGUUAUGAUAAUGACAUUUUCUAUCUAUGUGUCUUGACCAAAUCACGUGCCAGCAGUCGCGGUAAUACGUGGAAGACUAGUGUUAUUCAUCUUUAAUAGGUUUAAAGGGUACUUAGACGGUUGAUUAAGCCUACUAAUCAACUAGAGUUUUAUACAAGAGGGGGAGUACUAAAGAGUGUAGAGAUGAAAUUCUGUCAUACCUGACCUGGAACAGACAACGGCGAAAGCAACCCUUUAUGUAAAAACUGACGUUGAAAGACGAAGGCUUAGGACACCAACAGGAUUAGAUACCCCAGCAGUCUAAGCAGACAAUGAUGAAUGUCAUAGAUUAGAAUUACAAUUUAGUCUAUAAAUGAAAGUGUAAGCAUUCCACCUCAAGAGUAAUGUGGCAACGCAGAAACUGAAAUCAUUAGACCGUUUCUGAAACCAGUAGUGAAGUAUGUUGUUUAAUUUGUUGGUCCGCAAAACACCUUACCACAAUUUGAAUAGUAUUUACAAGCGUUGCACGGCUGUUUUCAGUUAAUGUCGUGAGAUUUUGGUUAAUUCCAUAAAAUUAACGUAAACCCUUACUUUAUUUUAAAGUAGUUCACCGCUAUAUUUCAUAUGAUAAAAGGGAAUAAGACAAGUCAAUCUGGCCUUAAUAUUGUGGGCUAUAGACGUGCCACAUAUGCCUCUACAAAGG